CGUAGUUACCGCUGCACGUCCUUCCGCAAAACCAAGCGGUUAGCGCGACGGCCGCCCGGCGAAGCGAGCUUCGCGAACGCGGACAAGUCGCUUUGGCACAAAAUGAGCUACGACGCACGUCAGGCGCGUUGAGCGCGCGAGCGGCUCCCCGGAGCACGAGAAAACAGCCUUUUUGAGUUCGGCUGCUGAGCCUGCAAACUCUUCAAAAACUGUCAGAGUUCCCUGAGGAAAACGUUACCCCCUUGAAAGCUUCGUUUCCCUCAAAAAGAUGGUCCUUUGCACAUGUUUUCCUCUCAUUGGCUUGGGGUCCGAGGCUGCCAUCAAUACAGCCCUUUGGAGGAGGUAUAUAUAGACACCUUCUUUAGAGACUGGCUUACAUUAGUCCAAACCAGACCGGAGUGAGGAGCCGUCCUGCUGGACUCAGCCAGGGAAAGUGUGGCCCACCGUGGUGUCCUGCAGGUCGCAGUGCUCUGGUCAGCCAGGUCUCCUCGAGUGUGUCUGGGACGAGUGGAGGGAGACUACAUCUAGUGGGUCCAGAGACUGUGAAAAGACAUCCAUCUGUGAAUGUUCCAGGAUACCAGACAAACGCAUCUGACUAGGGACAUAGCCUGAUGUGAGAGACCCGCAAACACAUAACUCUGACUGGAAAUAUCAGCCUGGGUGAUCUGGACUCCAGCAAAUGUAUCCAAGAAUAAGAGAGAACCCUCUGUCUAGAUCUCCCACCUUAUAUCAGCCACCAUCUUCAGACUGGAAUCAGCAACAAGCCGCCUUAAAAAUGUGGCAUUCUCCUUUCUAACGGUCCAGGCAGCUUCCGGACCCAUUAGGACAAGCAAUCCCUGACACUGAGUGACAUCUGCAUGACCAGUGAACACAUGUCACUAACGAUGAAUGUUUCUCCGACAUUCUUCAUGUUUUUAAUCACUGCGGAAGCUAAAUUACCAUACUCUUUUUAUGUUUGGGUGUGUUUUACUGACAUC